CCUACGGGAGGCAGCAGUGGGGAAUAUUGGACAAUGGGGGGAACCCUGAUCCAGCGACGCCGCGUGAGUGAAGAAGUAUUUCGGUAUGUAAAGCUCUAUCAGCAGGGAAGAAAAUGACGGUACCUGACUAAGAAGCCCCGGCUAACUACGUGCCAGCAGCCGCGGUAAUACGUAGGGGGCAAGCGUUAUCCGGAUUUACUGGGUGUAAAGGGAGCGUAGACGGUGCAGCAAGUCAGAUGUGAAAGGUCGGGGCUCAACCCCGGGACUGCAUUGGAAACUGGUGAGCUGGAGUACAGGAGAGGUAAGCGGAAUGCCUGGUGUAGCGGUGAAAUGCGUAGAUAUUAUGAGGAACACCAGUGGCGAAGGCGGCUUACUGGACUGUAACUGACGUUGAGGCUCGAAAGCGUGGGGAGCAAACAGGAUUAGAUACCCUUGUAGUC
rnacentral:rRNA from 1 species